rnacentral:rRNA from 1 species
ACACCUAAAUCAAAAAUGAAAAAUGCAAUUAGCCCCCUCUUCUCGUUCUGCAGCAGAUCGGCGGCGCGUUGUCCGACUUGUCGUCGGCGGAACCGCGCCGGCGACGCCAUCGCCCCGAACAGGCGGUCCUUCUCGCAGCAGCUCGACGAGGUCAGCGAGAGGCUCCUGCUCGGCCUCCGCGAGGCGGUGGCAGCACCCGACGGUGGCAGCGCCAUGGACAACGACGAGUCCCCGGGGGUCGGCGAGGCGGCUUCUCUGCGGCCAUGGAAGGCGCGCACCCGACGACGACGCCGCGCCUUGAUGUCGUCCCCCGCGCCCGUCGCGAGCCCUUCGCCCCAGGCGUCGGAGCGCAAGCGGAGGCUGGUCCGUGCCGACGCGCUCGACGGGGCAUGGUUCUCCGCGACGCUCUUUGCCGAGGAGAUCGAGGAGGACGUGUACGCCCGCGCCAUGCAGAAGCAGCUUGAUGUGGACUCGAUGUCCCCGGCGCCCGGGGGGGCACGGGCUUAUGCAUCUCACGGCAUGGACGGUGGUGCCCGGCGAGGUAGGCAUGCGAGCGCCGAGAUCGCUGGAUCCGGCCCGAAUACAGGACGAGGUCAAAAUCCCCUCUGCCUCGUCCGGGGUCGGGAUGGGGGCGGAGAGAAAUUUGGGGGACUUUUUCGCAUUAAACCUAAACUGUUAUGCCACUUAAGUAGAAAACGGACCCCAUCUGCCAUAAGCGCACUUAAACGAGCCAAUUGUGCCCAUAAGUGGUUUUUGCAAAACCAUUACGCAAGAUGUGGUGUUUUCUACAUAGAAACUGUAUCCUAA